CUACGGGACGCACCAGUGGGGAAUAUUGGACAAUGGGGGAAACCCUGAUCCAGCAAUGCCGCGUGUGUGAAGAAGGCCUGCGGGUUGUAAAGCACUUUCGGUUGGGAGGACUGCUUCUAGCACUAAUAUUGUUGGAAGUUGACGUUACCUUCAGAAGAAGCACCGGCUAACUCCGUGCCAGCAGCCGCGGUGAAUACGGAGGGUGCAGGCGUUAAUCGGAAUUACUGGGCGUAAAGCGCGCGUAGGCGGCUAGAUCAGUCGGGUGUGAAAGCCCCGGGCUUAACCUGGGAACUGCAUCCGAUACUGUCUAGCUUGAGUACAGGAGAGGAGAGUGGAAUUCCACAUGUAGCGGUGAGAUGCGUAGAUAUGUGGAGGAACACCAAUGGCGAAGGCAGCUCUCUGGCCUGAUACUGACGCUGAGGUGCGAAAGCGUGGGGAGCAAACAGGAUUAGAUACCCGGGUAGUC
rnacentral:rRNA from 1 species